ensembl:miRNA Gm24022 predicted gene, 24022
UGGGGUGAGCUGAGCUGGGCUGAGCUGGGGUAAGCUGAGCUGAGCUGGGGUGAGCUGAGC